rnacentral:rRNA from 1 species
GACAGAGGGGGCAAGCGUUGCUCGGAAUCACUGGGCGUAAAGGGCGCGUAGGCGGCGCAACAAGUCACUUGUGAAAAUCUCCGGGCUUAACCCGGAGCGGCCAAGUGAUACUGUCGUGCUAGAGUGCGGAAGGGGGCUACUGGAAUUCUCGGUGUAGCGGUGAAAUGCGUAGAUAUCAGGAGGAACACCGGUGGCGAAGGCGGCUCUCUGGACGGUGACUGACGCUGAGACGCGAAAGCGUGGGGAGCAAACAGG